CAAAAAAUGGAUAUGAGUGAAAAUUGGAUAUGCAAAAAUUUGAUUCUUCACCUAGACGACGCUCAUCUUGCCAUUAUCGACUUCAUCCUCUGUUAGGGACUUUAUCAAUUGUAGAGAGUCUGAUUCCAAUUGAACUGCUCGGAUAUUCAGACGCUCAGCCAUGCGAAUACCUUCAAGAAAAGCAAAAGUUUCUGCCGUCAAAGGAUCAUGAGAGGGAUUUUUUGCAGGCAGCGUCCACAUUAAACUUCACCCAACCAGUUGGARGGGGCAACCAACGACUCUCAUUAAUUUGAUCUGCAUUGCUGUUGCAAGCUUGAUAGUGGGAACUGCCAUGGGACAAUAUGUUACUGUCUUUAAACUCCUUCACAUUGCCUAAAUUCCAACUCCAACCUGCUCAAAUUCUGCCUUGGAGAAGGACUCCAUCAAGUACAACAAUCUGUCUUGGACACUAUUUCUGAAAUCGUAUGGCGAGACAGCCUGAGGUAAUAAGAGAUUGCCCGUUAAUA